GGUGAGUAACGCGUGGGUAACCUGCCUCAUACAGGGGGAGUAACAGUUAGAAAUGACUGCUAAUACCGCAUAAGCGCACAGUGCUGCAUGGCACAGUGUGAAAAACUCCGGUGGUAUGAGAUGGACCCGCGUCUGAUUAGCUAGUUGGUGGGGUAACGGCCUACCAAGGCGACGAUCAGUAGCCGGCCUGAGAGGGUGAACGGCCACAUUGGGACUGAGACACGGCCCAAACUCCUACGGGAGGCAGCAUG
rnacentral:rRNA from 1 species